rnacentral:rRNA from 1 species
UACAGAGGUCUCAAGCGUUGUUCGGAUUCAUUGGGCGUAAAGGGUGCGUAGGCGGCGCGGUAAGUCGGAUGUGAAAUCUCGGGGCUUAACUCCGAAACUGCAUUCGAUACUACCGUGCUUGAGGACUGGAGAGGAGACUGGAAUUUACGGUGUAGCGGUGAAAUGCGUAGAUAUCGUAAGGAAGACCAGUGGCGAAGGCGGGUCUCUGGACUGUUCCUGACGCUGAGGCACGAAGGCCAGGGGAGCAAACGGG